UACAGAGGGGGCAAGCGUUGUUCGGAAUUACUGGGCGUAAAGGGCGCGUAGGCGGCCUUCUAAGUCGAACGUGAAAUCCCCGGGCUCAACCCGGGAACUGCGUCCGAUACUGGAAGGCUUGAAUCCGGGAGAGGGAUGCGGAAUUCCAGGUGUAGCGGUGAAAUGCGUAGAUAUCUGGAGGAACACCGGUGGCGAAGGCGGUUCUCUGGGCCUUACCUGACGCUGAGGAGCGAAAGCAUGGGGAGCAAACAGG
rnacentral:rRNA from 1 species